rnacentral:rRNA from 1 species
GACGUAGGGCGCAAGCGUUGUCCGGAAUUAUUGGGCGUAAAGAGCUCGUAGGCGGUUUGUCGCGUCGGGAGUGAAAUCCACUGGCUUAACUGGUGGCUUGCUUUCGAUACGGGCAGACUGGAGGUAUGCAGGGGAGAACGGAAUUCCUGGUGUAGCGGUGAAAUGCGCAGAUAUCAGGAGGAACACCGGUGGCGAAGGCGGUUCUCUGGGCAUGUCCUGACGCUGAGGAGCGAAAGUGUGGGGAGCGAACAGG